rnacentral:rRNA from 1 species
GUCAAUGAUGAUGCAUACAUGUCAACUAUGGGUGUUGGCUCCAACAAUUCGCAUUGGUCUCAAACCAAUGACAUGCAUUUUGAAGACCAUGAGUUCGAGGUGGACGAGGAUGGUGAGGGCAUUGUCAACGCACCGAAGGGAAGAGCAGGCAACUACACCAAUGGCGAAGACGUUGUGCUAUGCAAAACUUGGUUGGACGUGUCGAGGGAUCCAUCCGUUGGAGGUGGUCAAAGUAGAGAUGCUUAUUGGCUUCGGAUGAAAGAGUACUUUGAUCUAUGCAACAUGAGUGGAAUUGACCGCUCUGAUCAUUCUCUUCGCUCCCGGUGAUCGACAAUCAACAAGGAUUGUCAACAAUGGGUGACCGCACAAAAGGCGGUUGACAAGUUGAACCCACGUGGCACCAAUGAUGAAGAUAGGGUAAGUGCUUCAUCAUUCAUGUUCAUCAUGCUUGUUUUUGGUGUUCCUUGUGAUAACUUGUUUUGUUUUCAUGUAGUUAAAUAUUGCACAAAAUUUGUUCAAAGGAGAGCAGAAGAGGACCAAGAAGGGGAAUAUCAAGAGAGAAGGUCAUUUACCUUGCAUCAUUGCUAUGAAGUAUUGAAGGAUGAUGAGACAUGGAAGAAGCGUGAAGAUAUUGAUGAUUUGGAUUUGAGCAAAAAACGCAAGCGAAUAAUUGAUUUGGAAGAUGUUGAUGAGGAGGAUGCAUCAAGUGAUGAUGGCAAGAGAAGCCCCACACCAAACUCGGUUUCAUACUCGAAGCCAAAAUGA